CAGGGGUUGCAUGUUUCCAGUAGAGAAUUUGGAUGUGGGUGUUUGAAGUGGUCCUUGAUAGAAAAGCUCUCAAUAACCAGAGCUGUCACUUCCUGAUGCUGCUGUGGUGGCAGACGGAAAGGAACAGAAUCCAAUGACACUCCUAAUGGACACGCACGAACACAGGGCAGAGCAAGAGCAUCACACAGAGCUUUGAAAGUCUUCAAAUGACAGCUACUGCAUAUA